rnacentral:rRNA from 1 species
GCGGCCGCUGCCGUGGCAGGAUCCCAGGUCCCGGUGUCAAAGCAGGGAGCGGGCGCACUGCCGGCCCGUCUCGUCCGCGGCCGUCGCCCUCGGGUGGCGGUUUCGUCGGAGAGGCGGAGCAAGAGCGCACACGUUGGGACCCGAAAGAUGGUGAACUAUGCUUGAGUAGGACGAAGCCAGAGGAAACUCUGGUGGAGGUCCGUAGCGAUUCUGACGUGCAAAUCGAUCGUCAAACUUGGGUAUAGGGGCGAAAG